GUGAGAUGGUGUGGGAGUGUGAUGUGUGUGAGUGUUGGUGUGAUUUUGUUGAGUUGUAUGUGAGCAAGUGUAUGUGUCAGCAUGUGAACGAAUGUGUGAGAGUGUGUCGUAUGUGUGGUCAUGUGCAUGACUGUAUGUGAACAGUGUGCAUACUAGUGUGUGAGAAUACAAGUGUGUGAGUGUGGCUGUGCGUGCAUAUAUCUAAGUGUGUAUAUUUGUAAGUGUGUGAUGGUCCAUGUGUGUGAGAGCAUAUGUACUAGUGUGAAAGUGUGUUGGUGUUUGUGUGUGAUAGCAAUUGUGUGUGUGUGAAAGUUGUAUAGGUGGAUGUGAUUGUGUGUGAGUGUGGAUGUAUGAGCAUAUGUGAGUAUAUGUGUGUGAGCAAGUAUGCAUGAGUGUGAGCAUGUGUAUUAGUAUGUGAGUGUAUUAGUGUGUGAUUUUAUGUGUGUUAUGUGAGAAUGAGAAUAGUGUGAGUGUGAGAGUGUGUGAUUGUGUUAACAAGUUUGUGUGUGCGGAGUGUGUGCAUGAAGGUGAGUGUGUGCGUGUGCAUAUGUGUGAGUGUGUGUGAGUGCGUGUGAGUGCACGUAUGUGUGGUUGUGUGUUUGCAAGUUUGUGAGUGCAUACAUGCAUGUGUAUGUGUAAGUAUGUGUGUGUGUGAGAGUGCGUGUGUGUGUGUGUGUAAG
rnacentral:lncRNA from 1 species